rnacentral:rRNA from 1 species
UACGAGGGGGGCAAGCGUUGUUCGGAAUUAUUGGGCGUAAAGGGUGCGUAGGCGGUUUGAAUAAGUUUGAUGUGAAAUCUCUGGGCUCAACCCAGAGUCUGGCAUCGAAAACUGUCGGGCUUGAGUAUGGGAGAGGUGAGUGGAAUUUCCGGGUGUAGCGGUGAAAUGCGUAGAUAUCGGAAGGAACACCUGUGGCGAAAGCGGCUCACUGGGACCAUUACUGACGCUGAUGCAACGAAAGCUAGGGGAGCAAACAGG